UACACAUGCAGUCGAACGGUAGCACAGAGGAGCUUGCUCUNUUGGGUGACGAGUGGNGGACGGGUGAGUAAUGUCUGGGAACUGCCCGAUGGAGGGGGAUAACUACUGGAAACGGUAGCUAAUACCGCAUAACGUCGCAAGACAAAGAGGGGGACCUUCGGGCCUCUUGCCAUCGGAUGUGCCCAGAUGGGAUUAGCUAGUAGGUGGGGUAACGGCUCACCUAGGCGACGAUCCCUAGCUGGUCUGAGAGGAUGACCAGCCACACUGGAACUGAGACACGGUCCAGACUCCUACGGGAGGCAGCAGUGGGGAAUAUUGCACAAUGGGCGCAAG
rnacentral:rRNA from 1 species